UACGGAGGGUGCAAGCGUUAUCCGGAUUUACUGGGUUUAAAGGGUGCGUAGGUGGGUCUGUAAGUCAGUGGUGAAAUCUUCGAGCUUAACUCGGAAACUGCCAUUGAUACUAUAGGUCUUGAAUUAUCUGGAGGUGAGCGGAAUAUGUCAUGUAGCGGUGAAAUGCUUAGAUAUGACAUAGAACACCAAUUGCGAAGGCAGCUCACUACGGAUUUAUUGACACUGAGGCACGAAAGCGUGGGGAGCGAACAGG
rnacentral:rRNA from 1 species